rnacentral:tRNA from 6 species
GCGCCUGUAGCUCAGUUGGAUAGAGCAACGGACUUCUAAUCCGUAGGUCGCAGGUUCGAAUCCUGCCAGGCGUACCA